AUCCUUUUGUAGUUCAUAAGCAUGAUAACUGGGUGUUCAUGCUCUUGUGUGACGUGUGCCUCCCUCAAAACUUUUUAUGACAUUGUCAUAUUACUCAUCUGAUG